rnacentral:lncRNA from 1 species
GGUCGUGUAAAGGUACUGCAUUAUUUUCCGUUUGCACAACAUUUGCAAUAGAUCUUAUAUAAAUAAAAUCCGCCAUAGAUUGGAAUUUACAAAAUUUACCAUAGAUUUGGGAUGUAAAAAAUCUGCCAUAGAUUUGGGAUGGCAUGACGUCAUGAUUAGAAAAUUUAAAAAACAACUUGCCAUAGAUUAGGAGUGUAAAAUUUUCGCCAUAGAUUUGGGAUGGCAUUACGUCAUAUUUACCAUAGAUUAGGAAUCCGCCAUAGAUUUGGAACCCAC